UACGUAGGGCGCAAGCGUUGUCCGGAAUUAUUGGGCGUAAAGAGCUCGUAGGCGGCUUGUCACGUCGGGAUGUGAAAGCCCGAGGCUUAACCCCGGGUCUGCAUUCGAUACGGGCUAGCUAGAGUGUGGUAGGGGAGAUCGGAAUUCCUGGUGUAGCGGUGAAAUGCGCAGAUAUCAGGAGGAACACCGGUGGCGAAGGCGGAUCUCUGGGCCAUUACUGACGCUGAGGAGCGAAAGCGUGGGGAGCGAACAGG
rnacentral:rRNA from 1 species